rnacentral:tRNA from 1 species
UUACCUGUAGUUUAAAAAUAUCGACAUUGGAAGUCGAAGUUCAGGAUUGUUUAUAGCUCUUGCGGGUAAA